GGCCAAAUCACAUUGAAACACCAGUUCUCAUCUGAUCAAUGAAGUUAAGCAAUGUUCUGCCUGACCAGUACCUAAAUGGGUGACUGCAAGGGAAUACCAGGUGCUGUAAG